AAAGAGGGGUUCGGUUUGGAACCAGCAGCGCCCUCGUGAGUAAAGGGCGCUCGAGCGCAGAAUUCAAAUUGAGACCGUUGGUCAAAAGACAACUGGAAGCGGGAAGCGCGCGGAUGGUUGGAGAGACGCGACCAAUAAGAGAUGACUUGCAACGGAUUGACGUGAAAGUACCUGGCUUAUCCUGCCCCUGUCCAGUUAAGUGGUGGAGAGUUUGGGAGCUGUGAGCUCUGAUAGAGAAAUGUAUCAACCACCACGAACAGGUUGGUGUAUUGGGGCGGAUUGUUCUGUCCUCUGUAUUUCAGACCAAAGCAAGACAAUGUUUAAAGCUCGCUAUGGAUCUACUAACAGGAUCCAUUUUGAGACGACAGAGCAGAAAACAAGAUAUGGAGAGAACUAAAAAAUAAAGGGUCAGUGGUCUAAAAUGAGUCUCUCUGGGGAGAGAGAG